UGUGGCUACAGCUGAGGAAGAUGCCGUCGGUUUCGAAAGCGGUUUCUCGAGGUGGCGGGUGCGGUGGGUUCCCGCAGACCGAGCAGCCGACGCACUAUACGUAUCUAAAGGACUUUAGGACAGAGCAGUGCCCCCUAUUCUUGCAGCACAAGUGUACCCAGCACAGACCAUUUACCUGUUUUCACUGGCAUUUCCUAAAUCAGCGUCGUCGUAGACCCAUUCGAAGGCGUGAUGGGACUUUUAACUACAGUCCAGAUGUUUAUUGUACAAAAUAUGAUGAGACCACAGGAAUCUGUCCAGAUGGAGAUGAUUGUCCUUAUCUGCAUCGAACAACAGGGGAUACAGAAAGAAAAUAUCAUCUCAGAUAUUACAAGACUGGAACAUGUAUUCAUGAAACAGAUGCUCGGGGCCACUGUGUGAAGAAUGGACUCCACUGUGCCUUUGCUCAUGGGCCUCAUGACCUUAGACCACCAGUAUAUGAUAUAAGGGAACUUCAGGCACAGGAAGCCUUACAUAAUGGGCAGCUAGGAGGUGGAGAAAACAUCCCUGACCUACAGCCAGGAAUUUUAGCUAGCCAAGCAAUGAUUGAAAAAAUUCUUAAUGAGGAUCCUAGAUGGCUGGAUACUAAUUUUGUAUUAGCUGGCUACAAGACAGAACAAUGCAUCAAACCCCCCAGAAUCUGCCGCCAGGGUUAUGCAUGUCCCCAUUAUCACAACAGCCGAGAUAGAAGACGGAAUCCCAGAAAAUUCAAAUACAGGUCUACUCCUUGCCCCAGUGUAAAACAUGCAGAUGAGUGGGGUGAACCUUCCAAGUGUGAAAAUGGGGAUAACUGUCAGUAUUGCCAUUCUCGUACUGAACAGCAGUUCCAUCCUGAGAUUUACAAAUCUACAAAGUGCAAUGACAUCCGCCAAACAGGUUACUGCCCACGGGGUCCAUUUUGUGCAUUUGCACACGUUGAAAAGGACACCAUCAAUGUAGUCAUACUGCAAACUGGUUGUCAAUCAAAGCCAGGCGCUCAUCUGUUUUCAGCAGACAGCAUAGGAAUUGCCAAUGAAUGGAGCAGCAGUCUUAACUCCACAAACAGCAUUACAGAUAACAAUGGGCAAUCUGGAAAUAUUUCCUGUGCCUCAAGUCCAACAGUAAUGUCAAGCUCUGGUAGCUGUAGCUCAUUAUCGCCUAUUGGACCCCUUUGUAGGCAAAGAUCAUUAGCAAAUGGUGCUUUGUGUUCCGAGUGUAGCCCAUCAGGUGUGUCUUCACCAAAUUCUAGCUACCCAAAAGCACCAGGUUUUGAACGAGAGGAUCAGAUGAAACAGAAAAGCCUGCCAGCCGACAAUUAUCAGAAAAUAAGUGAACAAGACAAUAAGCAGAACCAUCUCAGUGUUUUUUCAGUGAUUAAUCCACUUGCUUCAAGUAUAACCUCCAGUAUAACUUCUAGUCUGGCUUCCAGUAUUGGAUCAGAUAAUUCAUCCCCAACAGCUCUCUCAGCUAUCAGUACUAAAGCUCUCCCAUUCUACCCUGGCAGUAAUACAGUUGAAUCAGUUAUAGGUUCUGCUUUAGAUCUACAUUUUAGUGAUAUAAAUGUUGCAUCUUUAGAUAAAGAAUUAGAAGAUCAAGAAAACAGUGACCUUGGAUUAACAAGUCAAAGGUUACUGGGAAGUUCAGCUCCUGUCAAUAUUCCAGGUUCUGUUGCUCGUUCCUCAUCUUUACAUUCAUCAUCUUCCCUUUCAACCUCUCCACUCAGUUCUCUUUCACAGUCGUUGUCUCAGUCUUUUAUUUCAUCCACUAUGGCUCCUCACCAACAGCAGACUCAGCCUUUGAAAUCAGAACAUAGUAUGUUAGGCACUUCAGCCUCUUCUCAUAACUCUUUAGGUUUAAAUGGUGUUACAGGGAGCAUUUGGGACUUCGUAACUGGGAGUUUCUCUCCUAGUCCAUCCCCAAUAUUGAACAGUAGUACUAUACCCUCAACAAACUCAAACACCAAUGGAAGUGAAUUAGCUCAUGUUAGACAGGAACUUGAUGAUGCCAAUCAAAAAAUAAAACGAUGGGAAGAUUCUUGGCAACAAGUAAAGCAGGCAUGUGAUGCAUGGCAAAAAGAGGCCCAAGAGGCAAAGGAACGUGCUAAAGUGGCAGAUGCUGACAAAAAACUAGCUCUUCGGAAAAAAGAAGACUUAGAAAAUAAAUUUAAAAAGCUGCAGGAACAAUUUGAUAUGUGUCUGUCCACUACAGUACUCCAUAUGAAAAGCUAUGGCGAUAUAAAAAAGAUACCAUUACCAAAGCUUCAUUCUUUGCAAAACCAGCUGCGUUUAGAUUUAGAAACAGUAGAUGGGGUAAUUUUCCAACUUCAUUCAAAGAAGUGUGUUGUAUGCCAAGAACAUGACCGUAGUGUAAUCCUGCAGCCAUGUCAGCAUUAUGUACUUUGUGAACACUGUGCAGCUAAACAACAGGAAUGUCCUUGCUGCAAGAUGAAAAAAAGAAAUGGUGAUGAAGAGUCAUGGUACUUAUAAUCAUGUUAAUUAACUAAAUAUAUUUUAUGUUCUGGUAUUUUAGAUAAGAAUUAUAUCUGUAGUAAUUAAUCCAUUUACUAGUGCUAGACUGAUAUCCAUUUUGACCUUAAGAUAUUUUAAGUUGUUUUUACUAUAGGAAAUGUGGUUUGACUGCCUUUACGUAUUGAAUUCUAUUAAUGAAGUUCUAAAGUUCCAUGGUUAUUGCUCCCCCCCUGCCCUUUUCAGUUUUCCACUUACAUUCCUGGUGCACAAGCUACUCAGGUUCACUUACCACAUAAUCACUUCUUACAGGUGUGUACUCACAAUGCAUGAAUUGGGGAAUUUAUGUCUGUGCCUUCCAUUAGCAUUAAUGUAAGACACUCAUGUAAAUACAGUACUUGAUGGGAGGACCUUACCCCUCACCAUGUUUAUGGUGUGCUGUAAUCCUUUGCUGGUAUUUCUGAAUCAGUCUAACACUACUGUUUACUUGAUUUGAAGAAAUUUGAUUCCUGUAAAAGCACUUUGCUAACUGUUUUUUGUUAGAGUGUUAUAAAUUGGUUUAACCUGCUUUCUAGGGUUUAAUGUUUAUUUUUUUAAUAUGCGGUAUGAAGCUUUGCGUGUGUACUGUGAACUUAAUAUUUAUAUCAGAUUUACUGUUAAAUCAUUAUGAUAGUAUAGUAUAGUUAAAUUUCAUUUUUUGGCUUUAGUAGUUACUAAAUGAACAGUUACAUAUAAAUGAGAACUUGACUAGAAUUUUUACAGUUUAAGUCAACUGCAAACUAAUAGUAUUUAAGUAUACUAGCAGACAGUGACAUUGAAAGAAAGACAUGCGUAAAUAUUCAAAUACUUUUUUUAUUUUGUGAAACAAACCAAUUUUCUUAAACCACUGUGUAUUUGCAUAUUGUCCCAAGUUGGAUUUUUGUAGUUUUAAUGAAAGUAUUUGUAUAACUCCUAAUCUGUGUGAUUACUUAUCAUGCAUUGAUAUAAUCCAUAGCCACUUUUACCAAGUGCCUUUGCCUUGCACCCAAUAAAAUUGCAAAAUAUGUGAAGGAAACGAACAGUAUGCAAACAAUUUAUACCACCUAAUUCUGCACAGAACAAUUGGAUGAUAAUUAAAAUUCUCAACUUUCUGUAAUAGAAUUUCAAAAUAAUACUUUGCAAUGGAGAAAAGAUAUUAGGUUUUGUUUUUACAUAAAAAAAAAUACAAUACACCUUUAGGUUUAGCGCUAAAAUUAUUUAAAUAUUAUCAGACAAUGGUGCUUUGUUGUAAUGAUUUUUUAAAAAAGUUGUUGUCCAUAUUUAAUGCUGAUAAUUAGGAGUCUGCAGUUUAGGAGAAGUUGAUUAUUGUGUCUUAACACUGUAUUUUGUUACUUUCCUUAAAGUUAACUAUUCUUGUAGGGAAGAGUUACCUGUGGUGUUACUUUUCUUUCCCGUUAAAUACAGUGGCACUUUGAAUCACUUAGCUUUGCUGUUAGUAUUAAUGGACUUCUACACUUGUGGAGUCUUUGCCAAAGACUUUUUUUG